GUAAAAAUAGCUCAGUUGGUUAGAGCAGGAUGCUGAUAAUGCCACGGUUUCAGGUUCGAUCCCUGUAUGGGGCAGUUGCA